rnacentral:rRNA from 1 species
CCUACGGGAGGCAGCAGUAGGGAAUCUUCCACAAUGGACGAAAGUCUGAUGGAGCAAUGCCGCGUGAGUGAAGAAGGGUUUCGGCUCGUAAAACUCUGUUGUUGAAGAAGAAUGGGUGUCAGAGUAACUGUUGACAUCGUGACGGUAUUCAACCAGAAAGCCACGGCUAACUACGUGCCAGCAGCCGCGGUAAUACGUAGGUGGCAAGCGUUGUCCGGAUUUAUUGGGCGUAAAGCGAGCGCAGGCGGUUUUUUAAGUCU